UCCCAUCUUUGGUUUUGGUGACCUUUUGCUC
rnacentral:piRNA from 1 species